GCUGUGUGUAUAACCUGUUUCCAUUUCAGUAGAAAAGGGAAAAGAGUUAACUAUGUCUUUAUUUGUCUGGCAGGAUGUCAGAGAAGUUGCUCGUGGAGGUUGCCAGGGAGGAGGACAAGAGAUGCCUGGGGUUUGGGGAACGGUAGAGACGUCUCGGCUAAGCCUUCAUCUCCAGAGGCCCCUGGGCACGCGGCUCCCAGGAAUGUGUGUGGAAGAAAGAAUCACCCUCAGAAUUAGAAAAAGAACCUGAAUCUGGUUCUCCGCUCUGCCACUUACUGGCCGUGUGACCCGACUAAGGCAGCUCUCAGACCCAAGUGUCCUCAUCUACAAAGUGGCUGUGGUGUUUGAAUGAGACGGCAUAUAGCCAAGGAUUUGUACACGAGUAUGUGAGCGAAAUCUGUGCCCAACGGAGACAAGCGUUUCUCCACUUCUCCGCCUCUCCAUAGGCUUUUGGUUUUUCCCUCUGGUUUAAGGAUAUUAAAUCACUGGCACCUUU